rnacentral:rRNA from 1 species
UGAAUACGAGACGCUAAGGCGUCGAAGUAGUGUAUGUCAUACUUCCAAGAAAAGCUUGCACUGUCAUAGAUAAAAAACGCCUGUACCAUAACCGACACAGGUGGGUAGGUAGAGUAUACUAAGGGGCGCGAGAUAACUCUCUCUAAGGAACUCGGCAAAAUAACUCCGUAACUUCGGGAGAAGGAGUGCCUUAUUCGUAAGGUUGCAAUAACAAGAUCCAAGCAACUGUUUAUCAAAAACACAGGUCUCCGCUAAGUCGUAAGACGAUGUAUGGGGGCUGACGCCUGCCCAGUGCCAGAAGGUUAAAGAAGUUGGUUAGCAAUUGCGAAGCUGAUAACUGAAGCCCUGGUGAACGGCGGCCGUAACUAUAACGGUCCUAAGGUAGCGAAAUUCCUUGUCGGGUAAGUUCCGACUCGCACGAAAGGCGUAAUGAUUUGGAUACUGUCUCGGAGAGGGGCUCGGUGAAAUAGACUUGUCUGUGAAGAUGCGGACUACCUGCACCAGGACAGAAAGACCCUAUGAAGCUUUACUGUAACUUGAAAUUGAAAUUGGACUUUAUUCGCGCAGUAUAGGUGGGAGGCGUUGAUUAUAAUCUUGUGGGAUUAUUGGAGCCAUCAGUGAGAUACCACUCUUGUAAUGUUAGAUUUCUAACUUUGAAUCAUUAUCUGGUCAAAGAACAGUUUCAGGCGGGCAGUUUGACUGGGGCGGUCGCCUCCUAAACGGUAACGGAGGCGUACAAAGGUUUCCUCUGAACGGUUAGAAAUCGUAUCUAGAGUGUAAAGGCAUAAGGAAGCUUGACUGUGAGACCUACAAGUCGAGCAGGGACGAAAGUCGGUCUUAGUGAUCUGACGGUACUGAGUGGAAAGGCCGUCACUCAACGGAUAAAAGUUACUCUAAGGAUAACAGGCUGAUCUCCCCCAAGAGUUCACAUCGACGGGGAGGUUUGGCACCUUGAUGUCGGCUCAUCGCAUCCUGGGGCGGUAGUACGUCCCAAGGGUUGGGCUGUUCGCCCAUGAAAGCGGUACGCGAGCUGGGUUCAGAACGUCGUGAGACAGUUCGGUCCAUAUCCGGUGUAGGCGUUAGAAUAUUGAGAGGAGCCUUCUUUAGUACGAGAGGACCGAGAAGGACAUACCUCUGGUGUACCAGUUAUCGUGCCAACGGUAAACGCUGGGUAGCUAUGUAUGGAGUGGAUAACCGCUGAAAGCAUCUAAGUGGGAAGCCCACCUCAAGAUAAGUAUUCUC